ensembl:lncRNA
UUUCUGCUGGAAGGGACAAACUGGGACUUGAUAUCCACUACAUAAAUGCCUUCAAAGGUCGGGGCAUUUUCACGACUGUUCCAUUCCAAAAAGGAGACUUUCUUUUGGAAUACAGAGGUAAACUCAUAACAAAAGAAGAAUGUGAGCGGAGACACAGAGUUUAUCAUGACAGCCUGAAGGUGUUCAUGUUUGAAUUCAAGUUUGAUGGAAAACUCUGGUGUGUGGAUGCAUCUCAAGAAGAUGGGUCAUUAGGCAGACUUGUCAACGACAACCACAUCAGUCCAAGUGCUAAGAUGAAAAUAUUAAAUAUCAAUGGAAAGCCCCAUCUAUGCUUAUUUGCAAGCAGAGACAUAAGUCCAGGCGAAGAAAUAGACUAUAAUUAUGGUGACUCGGAUUGGCUCUGGAGAUGCAAGACUGAGACCAGCCAGAUUCAGAAGACUGUGAGCUGCCUAAAGCCGCAACCAAACAGCUUUCCAAACAAUGAUCUGGACCUGAAACAUCCAGAGCCUGAAAGGGAUCUUGAUGAAGAAAUGCCUCAGCAAGGCUCAGAAGCCAUGCAUUCUUCUUCAGUGCAAGAUUUUGAAGAGACUGAGACCAGCCAGAUUCAGAAGACUGUGAGCUGCCUAAAGCCGCAACCAAACAGCUUUCCAAACAAUGAUCUGGACCUGAAACAUCCAGAGCCUGAAAGGUGUCACAAUCAUCGUCUGGUGUGCACAACAAUAUCAUCUUUGGACAAGUGCAUUCAGUGUGUGGGACUGGUUUCCUCCCUCAAGUGGCUUGGCUAUAAGUGCAAAGAUGAAAUUGCAUUAAGUGAUGCUGAAACAAAGGACAGUGAGAGUGAAUCAGAUGAUGAUGACACAUCACUCACAAUGUCGGCGUGUGGCACCAGUGAGCCUGUACAUGCAGUAGCUGAUUCCACAAACACAGCGCAGCCCCAAGACACUGUAGAUUGUGAUGAAGGACUACUCACAAUGCCUGCAGCAAGUGAGACUGCUGCUCCCUCUGAAGGUAAGGGGUGCAGUUGGUUCUCGAAGCUUAUUAUUGUUUCAUCACUUUGCAACAUAUGGCAAACUGCAGAGUGGUGGCAAAAAGUCACUUGGAUGAGUGACAAAAUGUUUCUCCCACUGAAAACGCUACGUCCAGAUUAACAGAAUCAACGUUUUGGGAUUUACUUACCUGGAUGAUUGAGCAUGCAUCAAGAGACUUUUAUUCAACUUUUUAUUCAGUCUUUUAUUCACAGCGGAACACUAAAUGUUGUCUCAUUUUAGAAAUUUGAUAAAUUUUCAAACAGAAUUUUAGCUCGUUUUGAUAUUGAUGGUAGCAACACAUUUCAGAAGUUAGUACAGGGUAGCAUCCAUUCUUUUAACAAGCAAAUGUUUUUUGUUUUUUUUUGUUUGGUUUUUUGUUUGUUUUAACUACUACUACUUUAUAUAUCUUCCAGAGAAAAAUGCUGCUCAAUCCCACAAUUCCCGAAGAGCUCCCAAAAACAUGUGGUCCAAGGCUGAGGUUGCUGCAGUGAUGAGGCAUUUGAAAGACCACAUAAACGAAGGGAAACUAGCCACCAAAAAUGAAUGCAGUCAUUGCAAAUUGGUAGAAGAUCCGGUGUUGGCAGGAAGAACAGUUCAAAACAUAAGAGAUUUUGUAAGAAACAGAGGAUUAACUGCAAAAAGGCAGAAAAAAAUGAACUAAAAUAACUGUUUAGAGAGCUGUGGUUUUACAUCUUGGUCAGAUUGCCAAUUGUUGUUAACACUGAUGUUCUGUUUAAAGAAAAAAAAGUUCUUGUUAAAUACAGAAGUAGUUUGUAUUUCAUAAUUUUUACAUUUAAUUUAUUUAGGGUUUUUUUUGACGGGUUAUAUUUAAAAUAAAAAAUUAUAAAUGCAUAUUUUCUC